rnacentral:rRNA from 1 species
UCCAGACUCCUACGGGAGGCAGCAGUGGGGAAUAUUGCACAAUGGGGGAAACCCUGAUGCAGCAACGCCGCGUGGGUGAAGGAGCGUUUCGGCGCGUAAAGCCCUGUCAGCGGGGAAGAAGAAAGACGGUACCCGACCAAGAAGCCCCGGCUAACUACGUGCCAGCAGCCGCGGUAAUACGUAGGGGGCAAGCGUUAUCCGGAUUUACUUGGUGUAAAGGGAGCGUAGACGGCAGCGAAAGUCUGAAGUGAAAUGCUGGGGCUUAACCCCGGAACUGCUUUGGAAACUGUGCAGCUAGAGUGCAGGAGAGGGAAGUGGAAUUCCUAGUGUAGCGGUGAAAUGC